UCUGGGAUUCCAUUUCUGCUCCAAAAUCACUCUUGCUCUUAUGCUUCUCUCUUUUUAUAGUGAGCAGUGGAGUCUCUUGGGCUUGCUUGGAAUCUUCUAAUCUGUGCUUCUCUUCUGGCUUCCGUUCAUCAAUUCCUCUUACCUGAGAUGAUGGAGCUCCCAGAAGUAGCAUCUGAAAUGACAGAAUGUUCAAACUGUCCAAAUGACACGUUGGAGGAGCAAGUCGUUGGCCCUGAAAGUUCAGUUUCAGCUUCAGAACAGAAUGAGGUAUCUCCACUAUAACCACCCCGGAGAUUUAGCUGGCUAUGCUUGUCGUGCAGCAUCUGUUGCGUAGUUUUUGCAGGGGAAGGAUUCUUGUUGCCGAAGUGGUUGGUAGGUUUUGGGCCUCUUGGCGUUGCCUCUGGAGAACACAUAUUCCUGCUGCCAAGCUGCCUCAAUAACGUCUGUGCGGUAUUAUUGUCAGUGAUGCUCUUUGCAGAACUUGCACUGCUAAUGCUGGACAUGCUCUCCCAUUCGCUCCUUGGUAUAGAUUCACUGCUGUAGCUGACGGUGCUGGCGGCAGAUGGCGGCAGCAAAGGAGUCUUGCAGCCUUGAAAACCGUCCCAUCGGUCACCGCCCAUCCUCUCAACCCGCCCUUUCUGGCAGCCUCCAUCAGAGGACUCCAUAGAGCCUGCACUGGAUCUCCGAGUCCCCUGGCUGAAAAUGAAGCCAACCAGAGAACUGAAUGACUGUGUUCUGUUUUAACUAAAAGUUUAAACUGACAGUGAAACUGCAUAUCUACCGGAGCUUUAUUACCUACAGUAAUCCCCAGAAAAAUGGGUAUCAGGUGAAGACAGACUUGACAGAGAUGAAUGGUGGCCGGACUUAUUGCCCGAGGGAGGACGAGUAGCUGUUCUUAUGUUGUGCACUCUCCCCUUGGAGGAUACUACAUACACCGAACAAAAAUCAGGAACUGAUUUUCCUAAGAUGGUCGGGACAUCAGGAUUCUUAAACGCUCUGUCAGACACAACAACGUACGACCAAUCAAGAAUCCAUUAGAAUCCCCUUAUCCAACACAGCUCUGAAACCUGCACAGGAUCAUUGAGCUGGAAAUACCUUGCCAAAACGCCCCUGUUUGAAGCUCCCACCACGAUGUUGGCAAUGGAACACCCACAUAUAUACUCAGACAGCAAGCUGGCAACGUCAACCCCAACCAAAAUCACCUCUCUUGCUGCAACCUGCAGAACCCAAAUAAUCACAUGCAUCCACCAGCUUCAAUUCGCAUCUCCUUUCAAAUACAAAGAGGACUUGGGGGCAAGCAACCUUAGCCAAGUUGGUAAGACUGCUGACUUAGUAACUACAAGAUUUCAAGUUCAACUCCCAAUGGGAGCGGUUUUGAGUUUUGACCACCUAGGUUGGUUUACUUCAUUGUGGUCGGUGGAUUAGAUCACAAUGUGAGGUUUACUCCGUGCACAGGAGUGGUGCGGGUUUGUUACCCAACAAAAUAAAAUACCCAACAAAAUAAAAUAUAAAGACGAGGACUUACCCCUCUUCGAGCACAUAAACCACGGAAAGGAAGGAAAAACCUGUGCAUUUCAUGCGCUGUUGGGCACCGAUCCGCUAAAGAAACAAUCUUUUGUUAAUUGAUUUGAUGAAUGUUUGGUUUCUGUAGCAGCAAAGGUGAAAAAAAUCAAAGAAAUACACGUACGUGAGUGCAUGCUCUGUUGGAGGAAGACAUGGACGAGGAUAAUGGUGCGGGAUUUGAUGGUCAGGUUUUCCACUGCCCAUUUCACGGCCUGUUGGCUGUUCUUAUCUUUGUCUAUGGCCACGGCGGUAAUGCUGCCGAUUUCUUGAUGACCCAUGACGAUACUAUUCCUUUGCCGCGCCGUGAAAAUGUGUGUGUAUAUAUAUAUAAUCUAUAUAUACAUAUAUGAUAUAUAUAUAUAUAUAUAAAGAAUGGAUCUUUACCUACCUCCGGCCUUCAAAUAUGGAUGUUGGCUGUGGUGUUUGGCCGGAAGGUUGGUGUACACGGCGGUGCCACUGCCGGACCACCUGUAUAGCACAGCUACGCAGGAUGCAUACCCGCCUGGAGGGGAUGAAGCAAAGGUUAGUUAUUUGCCAUAAAUAUUGAAGGUGGUUGUUUGACUUUUGACUAUGGUCGUUACAUUGCUCCCAAUUUCACAUUCCUUAAUUUUCUCGGGUUUUUAUUUGGGCCAACCUAACCCGACUCCAUCCCAAUUCUCAAGCAUGCAUGCCCAUCAUAUCCAUAGAUCAUAGAUUCAUAGUUACUACUCGUUGAAGGCAAAUUAUACUUUGUAGUUUGUACCAAAUAAAUGUUCAUUGUUAAUAUAUUAAAUGUAUAUUAUUUUUAUAUUAAAGGUUUAUUACUUGUA